CCCUUAGAUGUUCUGGGCUGCACGCGCGCUACACUGACGCACGCAACAGGUGCCUGCUCCGAGAGGACUGGGUAAUCAUUUGAGUGUGCGUCGCGAUGGGGAUAGAAUAUUGUAAUUAUUACUCUUCAACGAGGAAUUCCUAGUAAGCGCCAGUCAGCAGCUUGCGCUGAUUACGUCCCUGCCCUUUGUACACACCGCCCGUCGCUCCUACCGAUGGGCGAUCCGGUGAAUGAUUCGGACUUCAGCGGCUCCCCUGGGGUGCGCCGGAGAAAGUUUUGUGAACCUUAUCACUUGGAGGAAGGAGAAGUCGUAACA
rnacentral:rRNA from 1 species